rnacentral:rRNA from 1 species
GAUGAACGCUGGCGGCGUGCCUAAUACAUGCAAGUCGAGCGAACAGACGAGGAUCGUUCUCCGCUGACGUGAGCGGCGGACGGGUGAGUAGCACGUGGAUAACCUACCUAUAAGACUUAGAUAAGUUCGAGAAACCGUAGUAAAGACCGGAUAAUAUAUUGAACCUCAUGGUUGAAUAGUUAAAUACGUUUUUGCUGUCACGUAUAGAUGAAUCCGCGGGGUAACAGCUAAUGGGGAAGGUAACGGCCUACCAAGGCAUCGAUGGGUAGGCGGCCUGAGAGGGUGGACGGCCACACUGGGACUGAGGGACGGCACAGACUGCGACGGUAGGCAGCAGUGGGGAAUAUUGCACAAUGGGCGCAAGCCUGAUGCAGCGACGCCGCGUGGGGGAAGACGUCCUUCGGGGGGUAAACCACUUUCGACAGGAACGAAGCUUCGGUGACGGUACCUGUAUAAGAAGCACCGGCUAACUACGUG